AACGAACGUUGGCGGCGUGGAUUAGGCAUGCAAGUCGAACGCGAAAGGGUAGCAAUACCCGAGUAAAGUGGCGAACGGGUGAGUAACGCGUAGGAAACCUGCCUUCGAGUGGGGGAUAACAUUCCUAACGGGGUGCUAAUACCGCAUGAAACUGCGGGAUCGCAUGGUUCUGCAGUCAAAGGUGGCCUCUAUUUAUAAGCUACCGCUCAAAGAUGGUCCUGCGUCCCACUAGCUAGUUGGCGGGGAACGCCCACCAAGGCAUCGAUGGGUAGCCGAUCUGAGAGGAUGACCGGCCACACUGGGACUGAGAUACGGCCCAGACUCCUACGGGAGCAGCAGUCGAGAGGCUUCGGCAAUGGGGGAAACCCUGACCGAGCGACGCCGCGUGGAGGAUGAAGGCCCUUGGGUUGUAAACUCCUGUCAUGUGGGAAGAAACCUCACGGUUCGAAUAGGGGCCGUGACUUGACGGUACCACAAGAGGAAGCUCCGGCUAACU
rnacentral:rRNA from 1 species